CAUGUACUCCCUCCGUCCGGAAAUACUUGUCCUAGAAAUAGAUGUAUCUAGACUUAUUUUAGUUAUAGAUACAUUCAUUUUAUCCAUUUUGGGGACAAGUAUUUUCGGACGGAGGGAGUAUCAA
rfam:Triticum aestivum genome assembly, contig: Triticum_aestivum_CS42_TGACv1_scaffold_409063_5BL